ACUAGAUACUCUAUUCUGUACUUAAUUGUAUGGAAUAUCACCUAGCCAGUGGAACUUUGGUUAAAUGGUGCCUUUAUUAAUACCAGAGUGUUAAAACUUGAAGUGUUAACAAGGGAUCACACUAUUUGAUUGAAGUGGGGUUCUAGUUAAUUUACUUUGAGUAAAUUAGAGUGUUCAAAGCAGCCUCUUGGGGCUUUGAAUAGAUUUAGCAUGGGAUAAUAGAAUAGGACUUGAUAACCUAUUUGUUGGUUUGAGUUAAUCAAAUAAUGAUUAAUAGGGACAGUUGGGGGCAUUCAUAUUAAAUGGUUAGCGGUGAAAUGUGUGGACCCAUUUAAGAUGAACUAAAGCGAAAGCAUUUGCCAAGGAUGUUUUCAUUAAUCAAGAACGAAAGUUAAGGGAUCGAAGACGAUUAGAUACCGUCGUAGUCUUAACUAUAAACUAUGCCGACCAGGGAU
rnacentral:rRNA from 1 species